ensembl:lncRNA
GUUUAUUGCAAAUAAAGACAUAAAAUAAAAUCAGGCAAAGUUCAGCAACAAAGAGAAUAAACUAGCAACAAUAGAAACAACAGAAAAACCGAAACCAUCAAACACAAACUCCAGAAAUUUGAUUCUGUUGGUCUGGAUGGACCAACGUUUCAUCCUUCAUCCAACUUCAGCCUCAGCUGCCUGCAGCUCUCCAACCUUAUUAACAGCACAUUUACAUCAGGACUGACACAAGCACCUCUGACUAACAGUCAGGUCAGUUUCAUGAUCAUAAAUAUGUAACAUCCAACCUGCAGACUGAAGGAGUCACUUGGAUAAGUGAUGAAAAGUUUCUCUACUUCCACAUGAACAGAAUCAACUUUCUGGGAUUUCUGUACCUGGACGAUUGAACAUGCAUCAAGACAGCAAACACAAACUUACACCACAAAAUCACUGAGAAGACGCCACAGUGGACAUCAUGACCUGAGUGAGAACAAAGAACAGAGACAGGAGGAAACUGGUGAGUGUCCAUAGCGAGGGACCGGCUGAGAACAAGUGAAGAAGACUAACAAAAAACAGAAAGGAAAUGAUGGAAACAGCAGAACUAAUUCCAAAACAUGACAACAAAAAUUCAAGUUUCAAGAUUCUUUAUUUGGCACGUGCAUAGUUAUACGAGUACAACAGGCAGUGAAAUGUGACCUGAUACGCUCCUCAAAAUUCUUGUUCACCUGCAUUAGUUUAUUUUAGGCAGGAUGUUGUUGUCCUUAUAAAUGCAUCCAGUGUUAGAGAAGACUCCAGCAGAGCACAGGCAUCAGUGAUGACACAUCUGUGUGGCUGCAGGAACUGUAGCAAGUGUGUGAGGUGUUAUCAUUAACCAUGUCUGUGUCCUGUCUUCAUGUAAAAAAGUCAGAACGCUUUGAUGGACUUUAAAACUGUGUUUUAUAAUUUCAUUUUUUUAAAAAUAAAUAAAAACACCAUCUGGAAAUGAAACUGGGACGUUGAAAGAAGCAGCUUUAAUACUGAAAUGAUUUUAAAGGCCCAGCGUCGUGUCUUUGAUCCAAGCUGUGAGACGAAGCUGAUAAAUGUGUCUCUCAACAUGUCCUCGUCUAGUUCCUGCUGAAUGACUUUAUUACGUCACCGCAAAGAAACGUUUGUUCAGAGUCGACUUUGUGUUGCAGUUUAUAUAAGGGCCACAUGAUGGUGCUGGUGCUCCACCCAACAGGCAAAGCAAGCGCCAGCACUGCGCCACCUACAGGACCCUCACAGCACUGCUGCAGCUGCAGUGUAGACUGUCAGGCUCUCAGUGCAAAAUCAUGUGAAGAAAUAUGAUAUUAGAUUUAUGCUGCAAUAAACAGCUGUAACAUGGAUCCUGUGUAAGGUUUACAGGAUAAUGCUGCAUUAAUGCUGACAUAAUCAAUCAUCAGUUCUCUGAUGUCCGACAUUCAGACCAGCAGAACAAGCUGUUGCUUUGAAUCACGUCUAACUCUAGAUUUUUACACACUUGUAGUUGUGGAGUUUGUUCCACAGAGACAGUUUCACUUCUGACUCUUUCAGUCAGAAUGAAAAAGAAGCUCAGACUGAAACCAUGUUUGCUCGUCUGUGCCGCCAUAAUCCAACCAUGACUAAUCUUUAAACUGUGAGUCUUUACUGAGCUGUUGGUCUCACACGUUGGUGUUUGACUGUUUCUCACAUUAAGCAACAAAAACAUGACCUUAAAGCCUCCACCCAAAAAUCCCCACAGCUCCAUCACGGCGAACCAGUCCGUCCAGACACACACUCCUCCAGUUAUUUGUAAUGAAUGGAUACAUGAAUGUAUUAUUAAUGUAUCAUCUUUUUGUUUUUGAAUCUCAAAAAAACAAAAAGUGCUGCAUAAAUAUCAGCUAUAAAUACUGAAGUUGAUUUAUUUCCUGGAGACUUGUGACAUGUUUAACCAUCACGUCUCGUCUAUCAUAUAUUCAUAUAUUUUCUUUAUGUCAGAAGAUUAAUUAAAUGUUCUGUUUUCAGUCAUUUAUUUCACGGUUCAGGCUUCAUAAAUGCUUCUAAAGUUUUUAAUGUGUGGUGUCAAACAUAAGGCCAGAGGCCCAGAGUCGGCCCACUGCACGUUUUGGUAAAUCUGUCUGUGGACGGUUUAAUAAAUGGGAACAUUUCCAGACUCUAUUGCUUCACAAUAACUUUAACUGUAAUAGUUUUGCUGUUCCAGCCAAAGUGACAGUUUUAGGUGAACAUGCGCAGCAACAUUCACCGGUCGCUGACAGACACACACAUCGGUCUGUGUUUGUUCCUGCGCACAUCACAACGCGCUCAAACAGAGUUUGUACCAAAGCUCCAAACGACUGUAUGAGUCAUUACUGUGUUUGUCACACUGUUCACACUCAGCACUAAUAAAGACGUGAACAAAGAAACACUUUUCCAGUUUGAUGUGGAAGAACUGUGAACAUGUGCAAUCACAUGUUGUGUCCGUCUCAGAGCUUCCUGCUCUGCUUCCAUCAGCGAUGAGUCGCACCUGAUUGGUCGCUACAUUCUGCAUGUAAAGUCCUGAUAUGAAAACAAUAUAAUAAUAAAGAUCACAGUAUGUCGACAGCGCUCAGCACUGACCUCUGGCUCUUUCCUGUGUUUCCUGGUUUGGUUGAUGCCGUUCUCUCUGGUCUGCACACAGACUCAGUCCAACACCAGCUGAGGUCCAGAUCAGGUGAAAUAACGCUGUUGGAGCUCAGUGAGGCUCUUCUGUCUGAGAAAAUCUGUGCAGCAGAUUCAGUGUUUGAGCAGAAAGGAUCACGUUUUACACGCAUGCUCAGCUGUCAGUCUGCAAACUUUAUCUGUUUCUUUCAGUCCUCAGCACAAACCUGAAGAUGCUUCUUCAGAGUUUUUGAAUCCAGUUAUUAACAUGUUGUUACUGUUUGUCUCCUUCAGUGUUUAUAUGUGGAAGCUUUAACUCAACAAUCAGCAGAUAAACAUGUGAUGCACAGAUCAGAACACAUGUGACUGUAAAGGACUUGAGCUCUGCUGCCACACUGAAGAAAGCGAUGUUGCUGUAUUCUAAUGUAUUAUACAUAAUGCAUAUUUGCCUGUAUUAUAAUGACUCUAAAUGGACAUAUUUUUAUUUCUUGAGAGGCACAAAGUUCCUGAAAGUGUGCAGGCUGCUUCAGCUGCAGCUUUUUUCCACCACGUGUGUUGGAAACAUUCUGAGGUCGGGUUUUUCUUCUUCCGCGUCUGCUGCCGGAUGUUUGUCAGGUUGUGAGGCGACCUCAGAGCCUCCCACCGCUGCAGCGCCGCUUCCUCGCUCUGCCCUGCUGCUGCUGGCUUCCUGUCAGCGGUGAAGCUGCAAAAACAACAAAUAAAACCCACCAACAAACAGACACAGAGAUGUUGGUGUGGUUACAGCCACGUCUCUGACACUCACACAAAAACAAGGUCACACUCUUCAUAAUGAGGAUGAUGAUGGUGACAUCUGUAAACAUCUGCAGGGACUCAAGAACAAAGCAAAGGACACACAAGGACAGUGAUGUCACACUGGACAAAUGCAAUGAUGAAAUGAUGAGUGAAACUGAAAGAUGUGUGAUGACAGUGGACAAAAGAGUGAACGAGGUCUCCAAACAUGCAGGGCCUCCAGCAGCAGCACCCAGGGUGACGUCUGGGACCAGUUCUUCCAGUCUGAAACAUUUAUUGGUUUAUUUUCUGUGUGGAGCUUUUUACUAAAUCAAGUUGUGUUUCUUCAAACUCAAACACAGAAAACAUGAAGCAGGUCAGAUUCCAGCAGACGGCUCUGAUCGGGUUCAUAAUAUCAAUGAGGGAACAUCGAGGCUCCGCUGCAGUGUGUAACACACGAUGAAACAGGAAGUCCUAAUAAAACACACAAAGUAACACUAAAAUAAUCCCUGAAGCAUUUUUCUGUGUCUGUCGGUCGAGACAUCAAACAGUUCAACACUUCUCACUGAUCUGACUGCUGCUGUGCAUAAAACAGAAAUCUCACAUGAACUCAAACAUCCUCCUAAAGUGUUGCUCACAACUUGUCAGCCUUCUUCAAAUGCAUAUGGACGCUAAUUUAUCAGGUUUUUUUGAAGCAUUAUCGAAAUUCAUUUUUAUUUCAAAGCUACAUGUGCAGAAUCAGGAAAAUUCACCAUCUGAACACAAAGUCAAGGAAGUGAUGAAAUAAUUUCAGAUAAUUACAGAAACAAAUACAAAUAAACUGAACAUGUGUCCUAGUAAAUGAAACUUCUCAUCAGACUAACUGACAUAUUUGUACAUUAAAGAAAUGAAACAAGCAGAUGGUUUAUUAAAAAUAAAACUUUAAUUUGUUAAAGUUGACUCGACUGUAACAUUAAACUGUUAGUUUUAGACGAUGCAUUUUAAAGGCCCAGCCAAGGUUCAGUUUUGCUUCUGAGUUAUAAAAGUCCAAUAUUACUCAGUAAAAGGAUUAGAAACUGAAACUAUAUAGAUUUUCUAUUUAUGACCAUAAUUUAGUUUUUUUUAAACAUGAAUUAUGUUUAUUUACUUUCUAAUAAAGUGUCUAUUAUAAUAUAAAGUGGAGCUUCUAACAUCAAAGAUAAGCUGUGAUUAUUAAAGCUGCUCCAGUUUUCUAACUGAAACAUUUGCUGCUAAAACACAGGAAGAAAGAAAAAUAUCCAAAUAAGACGAAGAGCUUCAUUUAUGCAACAUUUUACUGAAAUAUUUGGAUUUUAGUGAAGAUUUACAAGCAAAACUUUUACUUUGGCCUGAAAAGUGUUUCCUGUUUCAGCCACAGUUUGAGUGCUGACCUACCCUGGUACAGUAAACCCUGUGCACUGAAAAUUCACAAGACUGCAUUCUUUAUUUUCAUUUUCUAACAUGUUGUAACAUCAUCAUAAAUGUACACGUGUUCACAGUAACUAUCUGUACUCGUGUGCAUUUCACUGAAUACUGAACUGAGAGAAGGUCGGACUCCAUCGGAGCAGCUUUGUCAUAUAUUUGAAAAAUACAUUAAAAAUAAAACAAUAAAUAUUUCUGAUCCUGUGACACCGACUGAGGAGGUUGUGACAUCACAACAACAGAGGAACUAAAGUCUGUUUUCAUUUUCCUGUCAUCUCUCUCGACCCUUCGAGCUGGACUUUCAUUCAUGCUUCAGAAUCUGUAGAAAUCAGUGAAAUUCACCUGUGACAGUAACGAUAUUAUCAGACAUAAAUAAAAAUAAAUGGAGAUAUUUAACAGUCAACAGCAGAUAUAAUAAAUUAGCAAAUCACACAAAUACAAGUUUGAGCUGCUCCACACUAACAAGAACAGCCCACGAUCACGGAGUCAUUCUUUCUGCUCACGUCUCAGAGAUGAAAAGCUGAGUUUGGCUGUUGGUGAAACAGAGCCGUGAAAUGUGAAACAGAUUUCUUUGAUCGUUAAUAUUUGCUGUAACAAGUGAAAGUGCACAGAUGAAUUUGGGUCUCCUGGUGCAGCUGUUGGCGUGUCCACCUGCAGACGCACCUGAGGUCGGAUUUUUGGCCUCAUCUCUGUGACGUGAAAACUGCGGCGGUGCCACCGGCUGCACACGUUUCAUAUUUAGGCGUCUGAUCUGUUUUCUCACACCGAUUGUGAGGCCACACCUGAUCGCACAUCCUUACCUCCGGCACCGCCUGACCUCGAUUUCCCCGCCCACCCCCACUGACACGCUUCCUGUCCCAGCAGGCUUUGGGGCAGAAACCGCAGCCGCCUUCGUCUGUGACGCAGCCAUCACGCUGCAGCUCGAUCACAUCGGGUGACCACAUCCUGUGGAAACAGUGAGGCAGAAGAUUUUCCAGCAGCAGCAGCAACAGCCAAUCAGAUCGCAGAUACAAACACCUCCGCAGAAUGACAGCGAAUCUCUCACACUACAGAAAAAUGUGUCAACUUUCACACUGAGAUAAAGCAGGCAGAUUAGAAUACGGUGCUUCUGAUAAUUAUUUCAUUCAGUUGUUGGAUGUAAAUGUGUCUGCAAAUGUAAAACUUCUGUCACAACAUUUCUGAAAAAGAAAAACUGCAGUUUUCUGCAGAAAACAGUCCAAAAUUCUAAAACUGUUCUUUGUAAAUCAUCCUUUAAAUGAGCCUCAAACUGUUUUGUCUUGACACACAAAAGUAGAAAGUUGGCUUUAGGACAGGAAUGCGACCGAGCUGAGGGCAGCAUCUGAUCAGACAUGCACGGGGUUGUUACGCACAUCGUAGAUGAAAAUGUCACACACACAAAAUCACACAAAUUUGGCUUUAAGAAGAAAAGUCGUAUAACUUUGCAUCGCCUGCUGCUCCUGUGACUCAAACCCGCACAGAGGAAAAUGGACGGAGAGUUUUGAGCCUGCAGACGGCUGCAGUUUAACAAAACUGAGACACGCGUGCAGUCAAUCUGUCAGCAAAUGUUUCUGUUCUUCAAUCUUGAUAACCAAAAGUAUUUGGACAGCAGGUCGUUCUACCCAGAUACGUGGUAUGGUGUAUUAUGGGAUUCAUCUCCCAGUUACUGUGACUGAUGUUACCUCAUGAAGCCUUGAUCACAGUCAGUGUUUGAUUGUUUCUUUAAAUAUUAGCAUCAUCUAACAAACACUUACUUGUUGACACAGUGUGAGUGGAAACUGUUCUUAACGAUCGCUGCGUGCUGCAGGAUUAAGAUUAAGCAUUAUUAGAAUAUGUGGCCGUGACUGCUCGUAUACUUUGAGCACAGAGUCAGUGCGCUCAGACAAACAGGAAGUUUAACAGGUUACAUAUUUCUUUUAAAAUUUGAAGCAUUUCUCAUUUUUUCAAAGAUAUAAAACUUACAAAGACAGAAGGUUGAAGUUUGCAGCUAAAAUGUCUUAAUCUGUAGAUAUGAUAUUAAAACACACAGUAUAUAGCAAUAAUGAGUGUGUUUAUGUGUAUAUAUGUACUUAUAUCUUACAGCACACAAGAUUGCAUACAGUAUGUGUACAAUACAGAGGUCAGAGGUCAUGCAUUCAGAGCGAUGAACAGGAGAUAACCACCUUACAGAAGGUUACUUCAUUUAAAAACAAAGUUUGUCAGCUGCAGUCUGAACGUUUAAUCUGCACGUUGUUACAUUAAAGACAGAAAAGAAGCUAAAGAAUAAACACAGACAGAUUCUCUCUGCCAGUGGAAAACAGGUGGAGUGGAAGUGGUGUGGAUGUCUCUCUCUGUCACACACACACACACACACACACACACACACACACACACACACACACACACACACACACACACACACACACACUGUUUCCACUGAGUGUGGUUGUGUAACCUGGAAGUGUCAGCACUCAGUGAUCAGACCGACAUGAUUCAUCCUCACAGAUCUGAUGAUCUGCACUCAGAUCAGUAACUGCACAAACAAAUGAACUUUAUAUCUCACAGCAAAACAUCCCAAUGACGAGAAAUGUGUGAUUGGGCCGUGAUGGUAAACACACCCUCUGUGUCAUUAUGAAACUUUAUGUGUAUGCAUAUGUAAGGUUCAUCUAACCUGUUAGAAACUUCAAAGCACAAAUAAUCAAACUAAUGACACUGAUAACUAUAAAUCAGGGUUCUCAUGAUACUAGACUUUCAAACUUGCCAUGGACCCAGGAGAACUCUGGAUACUCCUCAUACUUUUCAGUACUAUGGGAAAAAUCUUUGUCUCCAUCCUGCAACAGCAGAAACAGUGAACAAGUCAUUUAGUGAAAAAGUUUCUUUCAUUUAUUUUACAAAUUAUUUAUUAGAUUUGCCAAAAUAACUCUUAUUAUUAAU